rnacentral:rRNA from 1 species
AUACGUAGGGUGCAAGCGUUAAUCGGAAUUACUGGGCGUAAAGCGUGCGCAGGCGGUUUUGUAAGACAGUGGUGAAAUCCCCGGGCUCAACCUGGGAACUGCCAUUGUUACUGCAAGGCUGGAGUGCGGCAGAGGGGGAUGGAAUUCCGCGGGUAGCAGUGAAAUGCGUAGAUAUGCGGAGGAACACCGAUGGCGAAGGCAAUCCCCUGGGCCUGCACUGACGCUCAUGCACGAAAGCGUGGGGAGCAAACAGGAUUAGAUACCCUGGUAGUCCACGCCCUAAACGAUGUCAACUGGUUGUUGGGGAUUUAUUUUCUCAGUAACGAAGCUAACGCGUGAAGUUGACCGCCUGGGGAGUACGGUCGCAAGGUUAAAACUCAAAUGAAUUGACGGGG